CAGAGUGUAAAAACUCCCAAAACCCAUGUGAACAUACCUUUUUGUUGCUUCGGCGGGAUCGCCCCGGGCGCCUUGUGUGCCCCGGAGUCAGGCGCCCGCCGGGGGACCCAAACUCUUGUAUUUCUCCUGAUAGCAUGUCUGAGUGUCACACAAACAAAUGAAUCA
rnacentral:misc_RNA from 1 species